CUCAGCAACAAUAAUCCUUACAAAGACUACAGCAGAAUAACAGAGUGUGUGAUAUCUGUGAACACCUUUUGUGUUUUGCUCUUAGCUUGCAACUGAACAGAAAACAGACAAAAACUGGACUUCACAAACAGCGCUCAGUCACAAAGGUUUCCACAGUCACAAUAAGAUUUAGGGUAAGGACAGGAUUCUUAUGAACUCACAAGCAGACACAGGGGAGCACAGAUAUUGUGAAGAAGAUGAUAUGAAUAAGAAGACUGUAGAGGGAAAAAAAAAAAAAGUAAAAGAAAAGACAACCAUUUAUAAUUCAGGCUUUAAGUUGAAACCAAGCAAAACUAGACUUUUUUUAAUCCUUACUGGGUCUGCUACAGACUUCUUCUGUGCUGUUGAAAAAAGCUGUCACAAUGCCUAUGCACAACAGGGCUAAUUUAGUCCGUCAUUCCCUAACUUCUAAAUGUUUGAUAUCUCUACCUUAAUGUUCUUUUAAUGUCCUUUGUAUGCAGUAUACAUAUAUAUGGUUACCAUUUAUUAUUAAAAAUUGAUAAAGCAC
rnacentral:lncRNA from 1 species